UACUACUCCCUCCGUCCUAAAAUAAACCAAUUUUUUACUUUUUACCUAUAAUUUUUUGCUCUUCGUCUUAUUCAAAAAAAAUUUAUGAUUAAUAUUUUUGUUUUUAUUAGAUGAUAAAUCAUAAAUAGUAUUUUACGUGUGACUAUUUUUUUUUUUAAUUUUCUAAAAAAUUUUCAAAUAAGACGGAUGAUCAAAACGUUGGACAUAAAAAACAAUUGUUUUCUUGGACGAGUACGUCAUCAAGAAAAGCAAGCAAGAGGAGCAGUCAAACUUUUGGCAGGAGGU
rnacentral:lncRNA from 1 species